UUCCGGGCUGAUCCAUCACCGGUGAGUUGUGGAGCACCGAACAAUGAACAAAAGACUCAUACCGGCCCUGCCCCACUUGAAGCAAGCUCUCACACUUCACCACAUGUGCCAUCGCCCAACCCCCCUCUCUCUCUUAACCUCUCUUUAAUGCGAUUAUAUUCCUGACCAGUCGAUGAGUUAAUAAACCAUCACCAACCCCCGACCACCAUUUCUUCUUCUGUUUGCCUAUCUAUAAACCAUGUUUUUUUGGGAGGAGGAGGAGGAGAGAGAGAGAGAGAGAGAGAGCCUUUAUCCAUAUAUGCAUGACCGUUACCCUGGCAGCAGAACAGCACACCUGGUGGUUUGGUGACACACGCCAGGGCCUGACAAGUCAAUUAUCCCCACGGGGUUGGAG
ensembl:lncRNA